rnacentral:lncRNA from 1 species
AUGUUUUCCACCUCUCCCUGAGGAAACACGGCGCCGCCCAGCUGCGAGUCACCGCUUACUGAACCCCUUCGGCAAGCAGGGGAAAGACCCUCCCGCCUUUCCGUACGAAGACAUGGCGCUGCCCUAUAUUGGGCUGGCGCCUCCCGGCCAAGAGCAGUCUCCUCCUUCCUGAUGCUGAGAAGCGGCCGCUCUGACCGCUGCCCACCCGAGUCGGGCUGGGAGGACCGCCCGCCGCGUGGCGAGGGAUGCGGCCUCGGAGGGGCAGAGGCUGAACCGCCCCUGCCUGCCGCGCAUCCCUCCGGCUUCCGCCGCGGCGCCAGCCCGCGCCUGAUUCGCGGCGGGAGCGGCAGGAGGGAGAACGCCGACUCCGUGGCAGGAAAGUGAAUAAACUUAAUUGAGAAUGUCUGAAAACCUUGACAAGUCCAAUGUAAAUGAAGCAGGAAAAUCAAAAUCCAAUGAUUCUGAGGAAGGCCUCGAAGAUGCUGUGGAAGGUGCUGAUGAAGCCUUACAAAAAGCAAUAAAGUCAGACUCCUCCAGCCCCCAAAGAGUGCAGAGACCUCACUGUAAGCAAAUUUGACUUUGGUUAGAUGCAAUAUUGUCAUUGUUUUCAGGUGACGGUUUUAUGAGGCCUCCUUGUGCAUGUGGCCGUGAGCUAGGUUCUAAUAAUAUAACAUUGCCAAUGUAGCAUUUAGGAAUAAUAGCAGUUCCUCAGCUGGCAGCCUAGCUACUUGUGGAUUUU